rnacentral:rRNA from 1 species
CCUACGGGAGGCAGCAGUAGGGAAUUUUCGUCAAUGGGCGCAAGCCUGAACGAGCAAUGCCGCGUGAACGAGGAAGGUCUUCGGAUCGUAAAGUUCUGUUGAAGGGGAAAAAGAGCGGAGAGAGGAAAUGCUUUCUGAUUGAUAUUACCCUUCGAGGAAGUCACGGCUAACUACGUGCCAGCAGCCGCGGUAAUACGUAGGUGGCGAGCGUUAUCCGGAUUUAUUGGGUUUAAAGGGUGCGCAGGCGGCGUGUCAAGUCAGCGGUAAAAUGUCGGGGCUCAACCCCGGCCGGCCGUUGAAACUGGCGUGAUCGAGUUGGAGAGAAGUAUGCGGAAUUCGUGGUGUAGCGGUGAAAGGCAUAGAUAUCACGAAGAACCCCGAUUGCGAAGGCAGCAUACCGGCUCCACACUGACGCUGAGGCACGAAAGCGUUGGUAUCGAACAGGAUUAGAUACCCGGGUAGUC